AACAGCGUGUAGCUGCAAUAGUCAUAAAUAAAUUAUAGAUUUUUCGUUUCCAAAAUCUCACGUAUAAUGAGAUGAGAAUAGGAGAAUUAUAAUGCAAGUUGAGUUGCCGACGUGUAUAUGGGCCCCUCAAAUAAAAUCUUCAAGACGUGGCAAAAUUAUGUUAUGGUUUAAACUUUAAACAAAACAUAAUUGGCGUCUGUCGUUUUCUACACCAAAAUAAUACUCAUUAAUUUUCCCACAAAAGAUAUGGAACGGGACACAUCAAAGUACAACUGUCAAACAGUUUCUUAGCUCAACAUCUUCUUCCACGUGGCACCUAAUUUGAAAACCUGCCAAAUUGAGCUAACACUCGGAGGCUGGCCAUUGGUUACUACUUUCUAGGCUUCUCUACUCCAAACUCUAAAAGUCUAAAACCAGACGGUCAACUGGUUGGUUUGUUUGUGUUGUCCACUCCUUAGUUGUCUCCUUAGCAUUAUAACUUGGAAGCUUCGCUUCUUUGUUUUUCUUUCUCCUUAUCCUUUUCAUCGUUUCCAGUGUCUCUACUAACUAUUUGGUGAGCAAGAGGCUGAAGAGAAGAGGGUUAAUAAUGAUGGGAAAGAAGACUUAUUUGGCAAUGAAGACUGAGCAAGAAGCAAGUGAUCUGAUCAGUUCUGAUUUCAAAGAGCUAGUCUUUGCUGCUAAAAAGCUUGCUAAUCAUGCCAUCAAGUUGGGUUCUUUGGGACUUGGGACUUCAUUUCUUGAAUGGAUCGCUUCCUUUGCUGCAAUUUAUUUAUUGAUCUUGGACCGAACAAAUUGGAAAACAAAUAUUCUUACAGCACUAUUAAUCCCAUAUAUCUUCUUGAGUCUUCCUUCCAUAUUGUUCAGCAUCUUCAGUGGAGAGGUCGGAAAAUGGAUUGCUUUUGUUGCAGUUGUUUUGCGCUUGUUCUUCCCUAGACGUUUCCCAGAUUGGCUGGAACUGCCCGCUGCUUUGAUUCUUAUAAUAGUGGUGGCUCCUAGCUUAUUCUCAAGCACUAUAAGAAGCAGCUGGGUUGGUGAGGUAAUAUGCCUUGCCAUUGCUUGUUACCUACUUCAGGAACACAUCAGGGCAUCAGGUGGGUUUCGGAAUUCUUUCACAAAAGCGCAUGGGAUAUCCAACACAAUUGGCAUAAUUCUUCUGCUAGUCUACCCUGCUUGGGCUUUGGCAAUAGACAUCCUGUAGGUUCAAGAUCAGCAGUUCGUGGAUUGUGUUUUCCUGUAACCAUUAAUUUGUUGAGACAUACAAAUUCAUUGUCAUUAUUGUGCCAUAAGACAUGGUUUUGCUUUGCUCUUUGCUUUGUGCAUUUGUAAGAAUUCCUCAUUUGAAGGACUUAUAGUAAUAUUUUAUUAUUGUUGUAGAAAAAUGUAGUAAAAGUUAUGGGAAACUAUGAAUAAUCCAAGACAGAGAAGCUUGAGAAACUCAUGUUCAGCAGGGGCAACAUGCCAUGCAUGAUGCUUAGAUAUUGUGGCCCAAACAACAUGGAAAUGAUGCAUAUGGGCCUAGUUCUUGCAGCAAGGGCCAUUUAAUGGUCAAAGGCGGUAAAAAAGAAGCCUAUUUUUGCGCCGGUGGUCAAGGGCGCGCAGUCUUCGACGGCCAUAUUUUUUGGCCUUUAAAAGAAAGCGAGGGUUACUGUUCCCGCUUAGAUUAGAUUUCCUUUUUCCUCUCACUAUUCCGUUCUUUUCUUUUCUUCUUUUUAUAAAAUCCAGUUUUUGUUUCUCUGCUGCGAUUUCGAGGAUGUUAUUGUAAUUGGUCCUCUUAUUGUGAAAUAUUUUACUAUGCAUAUUUCAGGGACUGAAAGUCUGGAUUGUUUGCUAUAGAUUGAUGGCUGAAGCUGACAGCUCCUGCUCAAACUGCUGUCUUGUGUAAUGACAUGGUUAAGUGUUGAAGACGUGGUUUAGAAUGUGGCUGAAGAUGUUGGAUAUGAGAUUGGCUAGAAACACCCUCUGCUUUGAUUCAUCUGAUGGUAGUGACUCCUGGUCUUUUUUCAAGCUUUAUAAGAAACAGCUGGAUUGGUGUGAUAAACAGAAACAAGUUUCAGCAACUACUGGUAAUCGAUGGCACAGCUGAGUAUCAGGUUCUUGCUCUCGGAACUGCUCUUAUACCUUUGGCCCCUUUGCUUCACUGUACAGUUGAUCAAUUCGAUCCUGCAGAUGAUGUUGGAAAAAAGGGAUAGAAAAGAAUACCUUGUAGUAUUUGAGCAGUUGCGGCCUCUUCAGUUUAAAUGUUGGGGUUACCAGAUCCCUCUCAAUGUCAAAGGGAUUCGGCUCCAAGAACACUGCUUUUAACAUCUCAAAGCCUCUAAGCUGUUAUAAAGCAACAUACCGACGCUAUAAGGGGGCAACGUGAGUAUGUAUUCUCAACAUUCUCCACAGCAACAUAUUCACCUUGAGA